GCACUGAGCGCAGGGAAGCCCCUCGGAUCUUUGAGGUUGUCAUCUUCCUUUGCAAGUUUAGUCCUAAACCCGCUGACAACAAUCCAGUCUUCAGGAUGGAGGGCUGUCGGGAGCCCAGGGUAUCCUUGGUCAGACCGUGAGGCAUGUGAUACGGAGCCACGGAGGGCGGCAGAGUCCUUCUCAGAGAUCCGUCCACGCCACCAGCCCCAGGUCGACCGGAGGGUGUGUGGAAGCAGGAAAUUCAGGGGCUACAGUGAAACCCCGACUCUAGCUUCUCUGUUGCCAGUGAGUGACAGCUGGAUGUCAGGGGACUCACAAAUGUGGACUCAUACAAGGUUGGCAAAAGCGACAGGCUCAGAGGAACUGGCCCCAACUCAAACUAGGGUGCCCCCCCACUCUUGGCUCCCCCAAACCCGCAAGCCCUCACUUACCCGGCAGAAGCCUACUGCUCCCCUCCAAAAGCAGAGACAGCCGUGGAUUUUAAGACCUGAGAUGAUGCAUCACUGUGGCUGUAACACUGGACUGAAUCUUGUUCUGUGUUCUAUGUAUCAUAUUCUCUGAGAUAAAAAGGCAUUUCAGAGCAAAACAAAACACCAAACACAAGUUAAGAGCCACUGGAGUUACAUACGCAGGGAAGAGCAAAGGCCUCCAAGAAGGUGUGGUCAAAUGAACAGGAAGCUUUCCAAAGAACAGGGGCAAAUUCAGAAGAACGGGUAAGUUCAGAAGCUGGUGGUCCAGGUGAAUGUGGACCCCAAGGUCCAGUUCUGGGUUUUGCUUUGAGCUGCAAGCGUCAUCACUUUGUUCAAAACCCCCAGAGUUUUAUGUUUAUAAUAAAUGUAUUGCCUUGAUCA
rnacentral:lncRNA from 1 species